GACGAACGCUGGCGGCGUGCUUAACACAUGCAAGUCGAACGGUGAAGCGCCUUCCUUUUUGGUGGGUGUGGAUGAGUGGCGAACGGGUGAGUAACACGUGAGUAACCUGCCCCCUUCUUCUGGAUAACCGCAUGAAAGUGUGGCUAAUACGGGAUAUUCUGGGUCUGUCGCAUGAUGGGUCUGGGAAAGAUAUUGUUUCGGUGGGGGAUGGGCUCGCGGCCUAUCAGCUUGUUGGGGGGGUGAGGGCCUACCAAGGCGGUGACGGGUAGCCGGCCUGAGAGGGUGGACGGUCACACUGGGACUGAGACACGGCCCAGACUCCUACGGGAGGCAGCAGUGGGGAAUAUUGCACAAUGGGCGCAAGCCUGAUGCAGCGACGCCGCGUGAGGGAUGGAGGCCUUCGGGUUGUGAACCUCUUUCGCCAGUGAAGCAGGCCUGCCUCGUUUGUGGGUGGGUUGACGGUAGCUGGAUAAGAAGCGCCGGCUAACUACGUG
rnacentral:rRNA from 1 species